rnacentral:rRNA from 1 species
GACGAACGCUGGCGGCGUGCUUAACACAUGCAAGUCGAACGGGAUUUAGUAGACAGAAGCCUCGGCUAAAGAUUACUACUGAGAGUGGCGAACGGGUGAGUAACGCGUGAGCAACCUGCCUAUGACAGUGGGAUAGCCUCGGGAAACCGGUAUUAAUACCGCAUAAAAUCGUAGAAACACAUGUUUCAACGGUCAAAGAUUUAUCGGUCAUAGAUGGGCUCGCGUCUGAUUAGCUAGUUGGUGAGAUAACAGCCCACCAAGGCGACGAUCAGUAGCCGGUCUGAGAGGAUGAACGGCAACAUUGGAACUGAGACACGGUCCAAACUCCUACGGGAGGCAGCAGUGGGGAAUAUUGCACAAUGGGGGAAACCCUGAUGCAGCGACGCCGCGUGAACGAAGAAGGUAUUCGUAUCGUAAAGUUCUGUCCUAUGGGAAGAUAAUGACAGUACCAUAGAAGAAAGCUCCGGCUAAAUACGUG